GGAGGGUGCAAGCGUUAUCCGGAUUUAUUGGGUUUAAAGGGUCCGUAGGCGGAUCUGUAAGUCAGUGGUGAAAUCUCAUAGCUUAACUAUGAAACUGCCAUUGAUACUGCAGGUCUUGAGUAAAGUAGAAGUGGCUGGAAUAAGUAGUGUAGCGGUGAAAUGCAUAGAUAUUACUUAGAACACCAAUUGCGAAGGCAGGUCACUAUGUUUUAACUGACGCUGAUGGACGAAAGCGUGGGGAGCGAACAGGAUUAGAUACCCUGGUAGUCCACGCCGUAAACGAUGCUAACUCGUUUUUGGGUUUUCGGAUUCAGAGACUAAGCGAAAGUGAUAAGUAUCCCACCUGGGGAGUACGUUCGCAAGAAUG
rnacentral:rRNA from 1 species